rnacentral:rRNA from 1 species
GUCGAGCGAUGGAUUGAGAGCUUGCUCUCAAGAAGUUAGCGGCGGACGGGUGAGUAACACGUGGGUAACCUGCCCAUAAGACUGGGAUAACUCCGGGAAACCGGGGCUAAUACCGGAUAACAUUUUGAACUGCAUGGUUCGAAAUUGAAAGGCGGCUUCGGCUGUCACUUAUGGAUGGACCCGCGUCGCAUUAGCUAGUUGGUGAGGUAACGGCUCACCAAGGCAACGAUGCGUAGCCGACCUGAGAGGGUGAUCGGCCACACUGGGACUGAGACACGGCCCAGACUCCUACGGGAGGCAGCAGUAGGGAAUCUUCCGCAAUGGACGAAAGUCUGACGGAGCAACGCCGCGUGAGUGAUGAAGGCUUUCGGGUCGUAAAACUCUGUUGUUAGGGAAGAACAAGUGCUAGUUGAAUAAGCUGGCACCUUGACGGUACCUAACCAGAAAGCCACGGCUAACUACGUGCCAGCAGCCGCGGUAAUACGUAGGUGGCAAGCGUUAUCCGGAAUUAUUGGGCGUAAAGCGCGCGCAGGUGGUUUCUUAAGUCUGAUGUGAAAGCCCACGGCUCAACCGUGGAGGGUCAUUGGAAACUGGGGAGACUUGAGUGCAGAAGANGAAAGUGGAAUUCCAUGUGUAGCGGUGAAAUGCGUAGAGAUAUGGAGGAACACCAGUGGCGAAGGCGACUUUCUGGUCUGUAACUGACAC